GCCAUGCCGCGUGGAGUGAAGAAGGCCUUCGGGUUGUAAAGCCCUUUUGUUGGGAAAGAAAAGCAGUCGAUUAAUACUCGGUUGUUCUGACGGUACCCAAAGAAUAAGCACCGGCUAACUUCGUGCCAGCAGCCGCGGUAAUACGAAGGGUGCAAGCGUUACUCGGAAUUACUGGGCGUAAAGCGUGCGUAGGUGGUUGUUUAAGUCUGUUGUGAAAGCCCUGGGCUCAACCUGGGAAUUGCAGUGGAUACUGGGCGACUAGAGUGUGGUAAAGGGUAGUGGAAUUCCCGGUGUAGCAAUGAAAUGCGUAAAGAUCGGUAGGAACAUCCUUGGCGAAGGCAACUACCUGGACCAACACUGACACUGAGGCACAAAAGCCUGGGGAGCAAACAGGAUUAAAUACCCUGGUAGUCCACGCCCUAAACGAUGCGAACUGGAUGUUGGGUGCAAUUUGGCACGCACUAUCGAAGCUAACGCGUUAAGUUCGCCGCCUGGGGAGUACGGUCGCAAGACUGAAACUCAGAGGAAUUGACGGGGGCCCGCACAAGCGGUGGAGUAUGUGGUUUAAUUCCAUGCAACGCGGAGAACCUUACCUGGUCUUGACGUGUCGAGAACU
rnacentral:rRNA from 1 species